UACGGAGGAGGCAAGCGUUAUCCGGAAUUAUUGGGCGUAAAGCGUCCGCAGGUGGCACUUCAAGUCUGUCGUCAAAGACUGGGGCUUAACCCUGGAAAGGCGGUGGAAACUGAAGCGCUAGAGUGCGGUAGGGGUAGAGGGAAUUCCCGGUGUAGCGGUGAAAUGCGUAGAGAUCGGGAAGAACAUCGGUGGCGAAAGCGCUCUACUGGGCCGCAACUGGCACUCAGGGACGAAAGCUAGGGGAGCGAAUGGG
rnacentral:rRNA from 1 species